CACGUAGGGCGCAAGCGUUGUCCGGAAUUAUUGGGCGUAAAGAGCUCGUAGGCGGCUUGUCACGUCGGUUGUGAAAGCCCGGGGCUUAACCCCGGGUCUGCAGUCGAUACGGGCAGGCUAGAGUGUGGUAGGGGAGAUCGGAAUUCCUGGUGUAGCGGUGAAAUGCGCAGAUAUCAGGAGGAACACCGGUGGCGAAGGCGGAUCUCUGGGCCAUUACUGACGCUGAGGAGCGAAAGCGUGGGGAGCGAACAGG
rnacentral:rRNA from 1 species